ensembl:lncRNA
UUAAAAAAUUGUCAAUGAGUUUUCUUUUGGAAUGGACUCAAAGAAGAGGUUGAAAAGCACGUUUUUUUCUCUUUGAAUUAAUAUUAAAACUUUCCGUUUUAAGGAAAGUGUGACUUUUGAAAAAAGGAAGAUAAAGGAUAUGGUGGAGCGCUUGGCAGUGGCAUUGUCAAGGGGGAAGUGUCACUGAGAGGAGACAUGGGCUGCAUCGGCAUCGAGGCUCACAGCUGAGUGUGAUACCAGCUGCUCGUCAAUAGCGACAAAGGGGGACCGGAGACCCAGUGCCUGUUCUUUCUGUCCCUGCCAGACACGGGGAGCAGUGUGAGGACACAUGCGGGACACAGUGGACUGCCUGGAUUGAGACAGCACUACAGUUCUGGGACAGUGCUUCCUGGUUGCCAUGGCUUUUCAGACUGCUCUGACAAGAAGUAACGUGGCAUUGGACAAAGAUUCAGUGGGAUAAUGAUUCUAUUUUAUUUUGUCUUAUUUUCUGUUUUCAUUUCAUAUCAAUGUUUUAAUGAAAAAAAGGAAAACCCUUUAGGUUUCUGGUACCGUGACAUUCCUGUUUUUUCCAAGUUAGGCUUUUACUUGGGUUUCCGUGGUUAUUGUUAUGAUGUUAUUUUACAGUUCUAAUGAAAGGCACAACAUUUUAAUUCAAAGGGAAAAAAACAGCAAUAAUUUCAACUAACAUUUUAUUUUAUUGUAUAUCAGUAGUAUUCUGCUUUUGCCUGAAAACAAAUACUUGAAUAUAUAUACACAUUUAUAUAUAUAUAUAUAUAUAUAUAUAUAUAUAUAUAUAUAUAUACCGUAUAUACAUAUAGAUAUCUAUAUGUAUAUGUACAUAUGUAUAUAUAUGUAUAUAUAGAUAUAUAUCUAUAGAUAAAUAUCUAUACAUAAUUAGUUUCCAGGGAGGUUGUGUUAUUUUCCUUUAGUCUGAGCUGUAUCUUGCGUAAUGAGCCGCCAAGCUUUUUUGUUUGUUUGUUGAAAUACAAAUAAGGGCACUGUAUAAAGGCAUUAUUUAUUUUGUUAUAAAAUAUAUUUGAGAAAUUGGUCCAAAUAAUAUACGUAGCACUGAUGCUCAAAUGACGGAUUUAUUUUGUAUGAUCUCUGUUUUCCGAUUGGAGUUGUAAGGCUUUUUCGUAGAUGCUUUGUACCAAAAAUAAUGUCUUUUUUUCCUUUUUUGUUUGCCAUAGUUACUUUAAAUUAAUAUUUUAACAGCAGCAUAGCCUGGAUUGCUUAGGCAUGUUAUGUCACAGAAAUAGGCACAUACUCUGAAUACGUUGGUCUGCAUGGAUUUCCAGAAGCCUGUCAGGGGUUUCUGCAAAAAAGAUAGCAUUAAUGAGUGACUUUAUUAUUGGAAAAAUAACUGUUCAACAAUGAUUGUACUCAAACCCACUAUGUUUUGAAGCCACUUUAGUAUUGAUGGCAGGGGAAUGAUCAGUCCUUCAUUAAAUCAUGUGUUUGUAAUUGUGCAUGGUGUCCUAUAUGAUCUCCUAAGGAACAUCUUGCCUGUAUGUGCCAGUGCCACUGAUGUUGUUGCUUGUUAGUUUGGGUCAUGAGGUCAUAAAUGUGCAGUCAGUUGUAAAUUUAAGGGUUUUGCUUACACUUGACUUACACAAGUCCUUGUGUCGAGGCCUUAAUUUACAGAUAAUGGUGUUCCUAUGAUGCUAUCAAAUAUCAAACGUCAUCUAAUGAUUGUUGGGAGGGAGCGAAUCGUCGCUCCGCACCUCACUGUCGGCCCGUCGGUCCUGUCUUCUCCGUUUGUAAAAGACAAUGUCCCUGAUCGUGUGCAUCAACAGUCUGCGUCUGUACUUGCGUGGCGAGGGCGGGGGGGGCGUUGUUGCCUGCCAUUCAGCCCUCAACAAUCUUCCAGUCACCCCUCCAUUAUGCAUUUGGUGAAGGGCUAUCACGCUGAACCAUUUCUGAAGCACUCAGGAAUCACAGCAAUCUGUGCUCUCCGAGGGAGAAGCCCAACAGUUGCCGAGUGUCAGUGAUAAUCUCGUUGUGGAAGGGCAGCCGAGAUUAAAACCCACACCUGUCCACAAUGACACAGCCCUCUGUGACAGACCACUGAAGCCCACGUCAGAAACAAGGUCCGUCUGUGCCACUUUAUAGUUCCCCCCCUUUAUUGUGUCAUGCAUCACCCAUGAAAUAGAGAGAGACCUAAUGGAUACUCGCCCCGUUGUGGUGGAGUCAAGCCAAUACUUUAUAUCUUCUUUCUUUCACAGAGAUCUCAAUAAUCAAAGCUGCGUCCUUCCUAUAAUUAUAUUCUACUUCAGUUGUGCAACAAAGCAGGCAGUGCAAUUAUUAUUAUUAUUAUUGAUAAUAUUAUUAUAUUAUCUAUUUUAUUCUAUAUUUUCCUGCUAGGACUGCAUUCAUUCACUAUUGUAAUGUUCAAACAGGCUACUUUUGUGUUCUUAUGAAUGGCGUGAAAGACAACCACUUCUUUUCGCUGAAUAUGAAAAGAUAUCUUGCCGAGCGAUGGCAAUUUCUUCAGUGUCAGUAGCUCACUCAGCCUGUGUGUAUUUUAUUGAUUUAACCUCUGCACGCUAGAACGUCCGAAAUGCACAAUUCAUGUACUUUCAUUUUUAAUAUCAAUAAAAAAAAACAUUUUAUCAAACAUAAAAUGUCUGAAAGACCUACUGCUUUGUUCCGUGUGCUGUCUCAGGGGUUGGGCUUGAGAGCCAUUUUUGAACUCUUUAUAUCAAUUAAACCGUAU